rnacentral:rRNA from 1 species
CCCUUAGAUGUUCUGGGCCGCACGCGCGCUACACUGAUGCAUUCAACGAGUCUAAAACCUGGUCUGAUAGGGCUGGGUAAUCUUUUGAAUGUGCAUCGUGAUUGGGAUAGAUGAUUGCAAUUCUUCAUCUUCAACGAGGAAUGCCUAGUAAACGCAAGUCAUCAGCUUGCAUUGAUUACGUCCCUUCCCUUUGUACACACCGCCCGUCGCUCCUACCGAUUGAAUGUUCCGAUGAAUACCAUGGACUGAGAGUAUGAAUGGGUUCGCCUAUUUCUGCUUCUCGGGAAGUGGAGUAAAUCUUAACAUUUAGAGGAAGGAGAAGUCGUAACA